rnacentral:rRNA from 1 species
GAUGAACGCUGGCGGCGUGCCUAAUACAUGCAAGUCGAGCGAACAGACGAGGAGCUUGCUCCUCUGACGUUAGCGGCGGACGGGUGAGUAACACGUGGAUAACCUACCUAUAAGACUGGGAUAACUUCGGGAAACCGGAGCUAAUACCGGAUAACAUGUUGAACCGCAUGGUUCAACAGUGAAAGACGGUCUUGCUGUCACUUAUAGAUGGAUCCGCGCCGCAUUAGCUAGUUGGUAAGGUAACGGCUUACCAAGGCAACGAUGCGUAGCCGACCUGAGAGGGGUGAGCGCCCAAACUGAAACAGAGCCCCGUCCCAGACUCCAGCGGGGGGCAGAAGAGGGAAAUCUUCCGGAAGGGGCGAAGGCCGGACGGAGCACCCCGGGGUGAGGGAAAAAGUUUUUGGGAUUGAAAAACUCUUUUAUAGGGAAAAAAAAAAGGGGAAAGAAACUAUCCACGUCUGGACGGUACCUAAAAAAAAAGCCCGGGCAAACUACGGC